GUGAUGGCAAAAUCGCUCCUUUCCGCGCUGCGGAGAAAAGCCCCCUGUUCGGAGGAAAGCAGCCGGCUGAAGUCGCUCUCUGCCGGCUACCGAAUUGCCCGAAUGCGCGGCUGUCGGCAGCAAGCGGCAUUCGGGGACGCGACCGAACGCUUUGCCUAGCUGUUCUCCGCGACUGAGGAUUUCUGCCGAUAAGAGCGGACUCGGGCAGUUCCGUAGUUUCCUUUUGCAAGAGAAAAUUUUUCGUCUUUAGGAAAAAAGUAAUACUGUCGGGGAAAACAAUGUUGUCUUCCCGAGAAGACCGUAUUUUGGGAGAUCACAACUGCUAGCGCUACUCAACGUGCCAGUCACCUCUUUGACGGAGAGUCUUUGUUCCUUCUCUCCUCCGUAACAGAAAGUCAGAGUGCAGCAAUGGAGAAAGAGAGAGAAACGAACUCUCUCCAAAUUAAGCGCCAGUGGCUCUGAAUGGUGGCUCCAGGAGAUGUGCUUUCGGCGAGAACGCAAGGUGAUGGCAAAAUCGCUCCUUUCCGCGCUGCGGAGAAAAGCCCCCUGUUCGGAGGAAAGCAGCCGGCUGAAGUCGCUCUCUGCCGGCUACCGAAUUGCCCGAAUGCGCGGCUGUCGGCAGCAAGCGGCAUUCGGGGACGCGACCGAACGCUUUGCCUAGCUGUUCUCCGCGACUGAGGAUUUCUGCCGAUAAGAGCGGACUCGGGCAGUUCCGUAGUUUCCUUUUGCAAGAGAAAAUUUUUCGUCUUUAGGAAAAAAGUAAUACUGUCGGGGAAAACAAUGUUGUCUUCCCGAGAAGACCGUAUUUUGGGAGAUCACAACUGCUAGCGCUACUCAACGUGCCAGUCACCUCUUUGACGGAGAGUCUUUGUUCCUUCUCUCCUCCGUAACAGAAAGUCAGAGUGCAGCAAUGGAGAAAGAGAGAGAAACGAACUCUCUCCAAAUUAAGCGCCAGUGGCUCUGAAUGGUGGCUCCAGGAGAUGUGCUUUCGGCGAGAACGCAAGGUGAUGGCAAAAUCGCUCCUUUCCGCGCUGCGGAGAAAAGCCCCCUGUUCGGAGGAAAGCAGCCGGCUGAAGUCGCUCUCUGCCGGCUACCGAAUUGCCCGAAUGCGCGGCUGUCGGCAGCAAGCGGCAUUCGGGGACGCGACCGAACGCUUUGCCUAGCUGUUCUCCGCGACUGAGGAUUUCUGCCGAUAAGAGCGGACUCGGGCAGUUCCGUAGUUUCCUUUUGCAAGAGAAAAUUUUUCGUCUUUAGGAAAAAAGUAAUACUGUCGGGGAAAACAAUGUUGUCUUCCCGAGAAGACCGUAUUUUGGGAGAUCACAACUGCUAGCGCUACUCAACGUGCCAGUCACCUCUUUGACGGAGAGUCUUCGUUCCUUCUCUCCUCCGUAACAGAAAGUCAGAGUGCAGCAAUGGAGAAAGAGAGAGAAACGAACUCUCUCCAAAUUAAGCGCCAGUGGCUCUGAAUGGUGGCUCCAGGAGAUGUGCUUUCGGCGAGAACGCAAGGUGAUGGCAAAAUCGCUCCUUUCCGCGCUGCGGAGAAAAGCCCCCUGUUCGGAGGAAAGCAGCCGGCUGAAGUCGCUCUCUGCCGGCUACCGAAUUGCCCGAAUGCGCGGCUGUCGGCAGCAAGCGGCAUUCGGGGACGCGACCGAACGCUUUGCCUAGCUGUUCUCCGCGACUGAGGAUUUCUGCCGAUAAGAGCGGACUCGGGCAGUUCCGUAGUUUCCUUUUGCAAGAGAAAAUUUUUCGUCUUUAGGAAAAAAGUAAUACUGUCGGGGAAAACAAUGUUGUCUUCCCGAGAAGACCGUAUUUUGGGAGAUCACAACUGCUAGCGCUACUCAACGUGCCAGUCACCUCUUUGACGGAGAGUCUUCGUUCCUUCUCUCCUCCGUAACAGAAAGUCAGAGUGCAGCAAUGGAGAAAGAGAGAGAAACGAACUCUCUCCAAAUUAAGCGCCAGUGGCUCUGAAUGGUGGCUCCAGGAGAUGUGCUUUCGGCGAGAACGCAAGGUGAUGGCAAAAUCGCUCCUUUCCGCGCUGCGGAGAAAAGCCCCCUGUUCGGAGGAAAGCAGCCGGCUGAAGUCGCUCUCUGCCGGCUACCGAAUUGCCCGAAUGCGCGGCUGUCGGCAGCAAGCGGCAUUCGGGGACGCGACCGAACGCUUUGCCUAGCUGUUCUCCGCGACUGAGGAUUUCUGCCGAUAAGAGCGGACUCGGGCAGUUCCGUAGUUUCCUUUUGCAAGAGAAAAUUUUUCGUCUUUAGGAAAAAAGUAAUACUGUCGGGGAAAACAAUGUUGUCUUCCCGAGAAGACCGUAUUUUGGGAGAUCACAACUGCUAGCGCUACUCAACGUGCCAGUCACCUCUUUGACGGAGAGUCUUUGUUCCUUCUCUCCUCCGUAACAGAAAGUCAGAGUGCAGCAAUGGAGAAAGAGAGAGAAACGAACUCUCUCCAAAUUAAGCGCCAGUGGCUCUGAAUGGUGGCUCCAGGAGAUGUGCUUUCGGCGAGAACGCAAGGUGAUGGCAAAAUCGCUCCUUUCCGCGCUGCGGAGAAAAGCCCCCUGUUCGGAGGAAAGCAGCCGGCUGAAGUCGCUCUCUGCCGGCUACCGAAUUGCCCGAAUGCGCGGCUGUCGGCAGCAAGCGGCAUUCGGGGACGCGACCGAACGCUUUGCCUAGCUGUUCUCCGCGACUGAGGAUUUCUGCCGAUAAGAGCGGACUCGGGCAGUUCCGUAGUUUCCUUUUGCAAGAGAAAAUUUUUCGUCUUUAGGAAAAAAGUAAUACUGUCGGGGAAAACAAUGUUGUCUUCCCGAGAAGACCGUAUUUUGGGAGAUCACAACUGCUAGCGCUACUCAACGUGCCAGUCACCUCUUUGACGGAGAGUCUUUGUUCCUUCUCUCCUCCGUAACAGAAAGUCAGAGUGCAGCAAUGGAGAAAGAGAGAGAAACGAACUCUCUCCAAAUUAAGCGCCAGUGGCUCUGAAUGGUGGCUCCAGGAGAUGUGCUUUCGGCGAGAACGCAAGGUGAUGGCAAAAUCGCUCCUUUCCGCGCUGCGGAGAAAAGCCCCCUGUUCGGAGGAAAGCAGCCGGCUGAAGUCGCUCUCUGCCGGCUACCGAAUUGCCCGAAUGCGCGGCUGUCGGCAGCAAGCGGCAUUCGGGGACGCGACCGAACGCUUUGCCUAGCUGUUCUCCGCGACUGAGGAUUUCUGCCGAUAAGAGCGGACUCGGGCAGUUCCGUAGUUUCCUUUUGCAAGAGAAAAUUUUUCGUCUUUAGGAAAAAAGUAAUACUGUCGGGGAAAACAAUGUUGUCUUCCCGAGAAGACCGUAUUUUGGGGUAAGAUCUAGCAUUGCUGUGGGAACACUUACCUUUUGCUGGAAUGUCAUGUUGUGGUGGGAAAAGAGUUGGAGAAAAGAAAUUCUCGACUUUGCGAGAAAAGCUUGAUUUCUGAAGGGGAGUUG